GGUUUCAUAGUGUAGUGGUUAGCACUCCAGACUUUGAAUCUGGCGACCUGAGUUCGAAUCCCUGCGAGACCU
rnacentral:tRNA from 2 species